rnacentral:rRNA from 1 species
ACGCAGGGAAGUGAAACAUCUCAGUACCUGCAGGAAGGGAUACUCCGUGAGUAGUGGCGAGCGAAAGCGGAUCAGACCAAACCGGUUGCGCGUGAUACCCGUCGGGGGUUGCGUUGCCGGUGUUGUGGGAUCACGUGUCCCGGUUCCGACGGGCCGGGCGGGAGUCAUAAAACGGCUUGCCAGGGGAACAGGCUUGAAGGCCUGGCCGUAGAGGGUGCCAGCCCCGUACCUGGACGUGAGCCGUCUUCCGAUCGUGUUGUCCCAAGUAGCGCGGGCCUCGUGGAAUCCCGCGUGAAUCAGCCCAGACCGUUGGGUAAGUCUAAGCAUACCUGUCUGACCGAUAGCGUACCAGUACCGUGAGGGAAAGGUGAAAAGCACCCCGGGAGGGGAGUGAAACAGUUCCUGAAACCGUGCGCCCACAAACCGUCGGAGCCUCCGCGUGGGGUGACGGCGUGCCUAUCGAAAAAUGAGUCUGCGAGUCAGUGGCGGGUGGCGAGCAUAAGCCGUGUGGCGUAUGCGUAGCGAAAGCGAGUCUUAAAAGGCGUUUUUAGUCGCUUGUCCUGGACCCGAAGCGGGAUGAUCUAGCCCUGGGCAGGUUGAAGCGCGGGUAAGACCGCGUGGAGGACCGAACCCACCUGGGUUGAAAACCGGGGGGAUGACCUGGGGCUAGGGGUGAAAGGCCAAUCAAAUUCCGUGAUAGCUGGUUCUCUCCGAAAUGCAUUUAGGUGCAGCGUCGGUCGAUUGCGUCGCGGGGGUAGAGCUACCGGAUGCUUGCGGGCCCUUGUUGGGUACCAACAGCAGCCGAACUCCGAAUACCGUUGACGUGUAUUCCGGCAGUGAGUCGGCGGGGGAUAAGCUCCGUCGUCGAGAGGGAGACAGCCCAGACCGUCGUCUAAGGUCCCGAAGCGUGUGCUAAGUGGGAAAGGAUGUGGAGUCGCAUAGACAGCCAGGAGGUUGGCUCAGAAGCAGCCAUCCUUGAAAGAGUGCGUAACAGCUCACUGGUCUAGUGGUUCCGCGCCGACAAUGUAGCGGGGCUCAAGCACACCACCGAAGACGCGGCAGCAAUCUUCAUGGUUGCUGGGUAGGAGAGCGUCCUGCGAGGGGCGAAGCGGCGGUGNNNNNNNNNNNNNNNNNNNNNNNNNNNNNNNNNNNNNNNNNNNNNNNNNNNNNNNNNNNNNNNNNNNNNNNNNNNNNNNNNNNNNNNNNNNNNNNNNNNNNNNNNNNNNNNNNNNNNNNNNNNNNNNNGCCGUGGACUUCGUGGGAGUGAGAAUGCAGACAUGAGUAGCGAGAGACGGGUGAGGAUCCCGUCCGCUGGAUGACCAAGGGUUCCGGGGCCACGUUCGUCGUCCCCGGGUGAGUCGGGUCCUAAGGCGAGGCCGACAGGCGUAGUCGAAUGGAUGAACGGGUGGAUAUUCCCGUACCGACCAUGGACCGGCAAAACCGAGACGGUGAGUACUAACCUCCGCCUCGUGGUGGUUCCUUCCUUCGGGUUGGUAUCGCCGCGUGGUGUUGGGAGCGUAGCCGCAGUAGGUCAGCGCAGGGGUGACACGGAAUGGGAGCCGGCCGCGGAGGUGGUUUUCCGUGGUCAAGCACGCAGCCAGUCAUGUAGGCAAAUCCGCAUGGCGCGCAUGGCGAGGUGUGAUGAUGGGAGCCGUUAUGGCUCGAUAUCCGGUUGUCCAGGCCGUCGAGAAAAGCCUCGGCGUGAGGGCCAUGGCCGCCCGUACCCCAAACCGACACUGGUGGUCAGGUAGAGAAUACCAAGGCGAUCGAGCGAAUCCUGGUCAAGGAACUCGGCAAAUCACUCCCGUGCCUUCGGUAUAAGGGAGACCCGCUGGGGUGAACCGGCUAGCCCGGGGAGCUUUGGUGGGUGGCACAGACCAGGGGGUAGCGACUGUUUACCAAAAACACAGGUGCAUGCGAAGGCGAAAGCCGCUGUAUAUGCACUGACGCCUGCCCGGUGCCGGAAGGUUAAGAGGAUCCGUCAAUCCCUUCGGGGACGAAGCGGUGAAUUCAAGCCCCGGUAAACGGCGGUGGUAACUAUAACCAUCCUAAGGUAGCGAAAUUCCUUGUCGGGUAAGUUCCGACCUGCACGAAUGGCGUAACGACUUCCCCACUGUCUCGACCAGGAGCUCGGCGAAAUUGCAGUACGAGUAAAGAUGCUCGUUAAGCGCAGAAGGACGAAAAGACCCCGGGACCUUUACUAUACCUUGGUAUUGGCGUUAGGCGCGGAUUGUGUAGCAUAGGCGGGAGGCUUUGAAACGGUGGCGCCAGCCAUCGCGGAGCCGCAAGGUGAAAUACCGCUCUGUUCUCGUUUGACGUCUAACCUCGACAAGUCAUCCUUGUCAGGGACAGUGCCUGGCGGGUAGUUCAACUGGGGCGGUUGCCUCCCAAAGAGUAACGGAGGCGCUCAAAGGUCCGCUCAGCCCGGUUGGCAAUCGGGUGUCGAGUGUAAUCGCACAAGCGGGCUUGACUGCGAGGACGACGGUCCGAGCAGGGACGAAAGUCGGAGAUAGUGAUCCGGUGCCGGCGCACGGGCGCGGCAUCGCUCAACGGAUAAAAGGUACCCCGGGGAUAACAGGCUGAUCAUUCCCAAGAGUCCAUAUCGACGGGAUGGUUUGGCACCUCGAUGUCGGCUCGUCGCAUCCUGGGGCUGGAGCAGGUCCCAAGGGUUCGGCUGUUCGCCGAUUAAAGCGGCACGCGAGCUGGGUUCAGAACGUCGUGAGACAGUUUGGUCUCUAUCCUCUGCGCUCGUUGGAAUCCUGAGGAGGCCUGCCCAUAGUACGAGAGGACCUGGGUGGACGAACCUCUGGUAUGCCGGUUGUCGCGCCAGCGGCACGGCCGGUUGGCUACGUUCGGGAGGGAUAACCGCUGAAAGCAUCUAAGCGGGAAGCCUGCUCCAAGAUUAGGAUUCCAUGGAUCUUCGAGAUCCUGUAGCCCGCAUGUUGAACACGUGUUUGAUAGGCCGGAGGUGGAAGCCCCGUGAGGGGUGGAGCCGACCGGUACUAACGGGCGAUGGCGACA